rnacentral:lncRNA from 1 species
CAGGGCCUCUGGAGCGGCGCGGGUAGCCCUGCGCCUGGUCUGCCAAGCCACGGCAGAGGCCAUAACUGGGCAGUUGGCUCCAUCUGGAGCUUCCCGGUGCAGGUAGAGAACGAGUGGCCCUGUCCUCUUGCCACCCCAGCCCUUUGUUCCCCCUCUGUGUUUGUGGGGCUAGUUUUAGCCUGGGUCCGACCUGCAGCUGCACACCAGGAACCAGGGGAAGAUAGUGUGGGAUCGUCUGCUGGUCUCCUUUAGCUACGGAGACGGAGGAGACAUCGGGCCCUCUGGGUUGGGAAAAGGAGCAGGGGGAGAAGAGAAGACUGCUUCUGGGCAACAGCCAGUGAAGAGAAGGGUAGCGACAUGAGGAUGAUGAGCUGACAAAUCCAUGGCACCGGCAGCCGGGGAGGACCCAGGRCAGAGCGCUCGCGACAGCGCCCACCUCUCCCUCUCGCAGAUGCUGCUCCCAGGUGGAAGAAACUGUGUCUAGAGCCACAAACCCACCCCCCCUUUCAUGGUGCUGCUCAACUCAUGGACGUUUAUGCUUGUGCACACACUCCACAUCAGGAAAUUGCAGUUGGAGGACCUUGGAUGAGCAGCCUUCCUCAUCUGUGGCUCUGGAAGAACCUGCAAUGUGAAAGGACUUAAACUAAUUGAAUCCUCAUUUCUGUGAGGACCCUCAGAGGAGGGACCUGCUGCCAGGCCCCUUGAGUUAAGGAGAGACAGGGAUGUGCUACGCCAACUAUUCCAUUUCUCACCAGUGCAGGAGCUCUUCCAGGGGUGGUUCCUCCUACGCUUGUUGUGUCUUGGGGAGAUUGUUAAAAUUCCUAAUUGAGGUCCUGUCAGGAUGUUAUGCAUUAUAAUCUGCCUAGAUUUUCUCAGUUUCACCCCAUUAUUUGUUAGUCUUCACUGUCAUACGUAAUUUUUCUCCAUUUCCUUGUUUAUGGAUAUCCUCAAAUGAAAUAUCUGCAGGUUGUUAUUUCUCGUUUUACCCUUUUGGUGAAAUGAUACUGAUCUGAUUUUUCAAAACUUGAAGUU